GACGAACGCUGGCGGCGUGCUUAACACAUGCAAGUCGAGCGGAGCGGCGAACGGGUGAGUAACGCGUGAGUAACUGCCCCCCUCUAUGGGAUAACAGUUGGAAAGGGCUGCUAAUACCGGAUAGUGGGGGAUGAAUCGCGUCCUAUCGGCUUGUGGGUGGGGUAGUGGCCUACCAAGGCGACGACUGGUAGCAGGCAUGAGAGGGCGACCGGCAAAAUUGGGCUGCGAUACGGGCCAUGCUCCUACGGGAGGCAGCAGUGGGGAAUAUUGCACAAUGGGGGAAACCCGGAUGCAGCAACGCCGCGUGCGGGAGGACGGCCUUCGGGUUGUAAACCGCUUUCAGCCAUGACGCGGUAGUGGCAGAAGAAGCACCGGCUAACUACGUGCCAGCAGCCGCGGUAAUAC
rnacentral:rRNA from 1 species